rnacentral:rRNA from 1 species
GUGCCAGCCGCCGCGGUAAAACGUAGGAGCCUAGCGUUAUCCGAAUUUACUGGGCGUAAAGCGCGUGCAGGCGGCUGAGUAAGUGGAUUGUGAAAUCUCCCGGCUCAACUGGGAGGGGACGGUCCAGACUGCUCGGCUGGAGGCAGGGAGAGGGAGGUGGAAUUCCCGGUGUAGUGGUGAAAUGCGUAGAGAUCGGGAGGAACACCUGUGGCGAAAGCGGCCUCCUGGCCCUGACCUGACGCUGAGAUGCGAAAGCUAGGGGAGCGAACGGGAUUAGAUACCCCCGUAGUCC